AUUGAACGCUGGCGGCAUGCUUUACACAUGCAAGUCGAACGGCAGCGCGGGCUUCGGCCUGGCGGCGAGUGGCGAACGGGUGAGUAAUGCAUCGGAACGUGCCCAGUAGUGGGGGAUAGCCCGGCGAAAGCCGGAUUAAUACCGCAUACGACCUGAGGGUGAAAGCGGGGGACCGAAAGGCCUCGCGCUAUUGGAGCGGCCGAUGUCGGAUUAGCUAGUUGGUGGGGUAAAGGCUUACCAAGGCGACGAUCCGUAGCUGGUCUGAGAGGACGACCAGCCACACUGGGACUGGGACACGGCCCAGACUCCUACGGGAGGCAGCAGUGGGGAAUUUUGGACAAUGGGGGCAACCCUGAUCCAGCCAUGCCGCGUGCGGGAAGAAGGCCUUCGGGUUGUAAACCGCUUUUGUUCGGGAAGAAAUCCUCUGGGCUAAUACCCCGGGGGGAUGACGGUACCGGAAGAAUAAGCACCGGCUAACUACGUG
rnacentral:rRNA from 1 species